UUCAAGGUUGGUUCAGCCGUACAAAUUCGACACCAGAUAUUGAAGACGCGUACACAAUGCUACUUGAAGAUGGAAACGAAACACUAACUUGUUGCGACGCCACAGCGAGAACAGGUAUGAGUUUUUGCUGCGUUUGUGAAUUCACUCGUCAUUGCUAUGUACUUCUUGUUGUAAUCCAGUCAGGUUGUUGAAGCAGCGUUGUUACGAGAUUGUUGCGAAAAUGACGAUGAAUGUGAAGCAAAUCGCAGUUGAAGCUUCGGUUCUAGGGUAUGGCGGUGUUGUGGAUAGCCGCGGUGUUUACAGGUCACAUGUGGAGGAUGAAGAGUGGAGAGUUGAAGUUAUGCAAAAGAUGAAGAUGAUGAAGGUUUUUGCAGAAGAUUGAAGAAAAUGAUGAAGGUUUCUGCAGAAGGUUGAAGAAAAUGAUUGAAACUGAAGCAAGGAUUGAGAGUACCGACGAAUCCACCGCAAGACAUAUGGAAGGAUCCCAUCAGGUUUUGAAGACAAGCGCCCAAUGCUUAUGUCGUUGGAAUUAGGGUCCGUCUGUUUUGUCUUUUUGUAAAAAUAAUCUUUAUAGUGUUAUAUAUUUUAGU